rnacentral:rRNA from 1 species
GAUGAACGCUGGCGGCGUGCCUAAUACAUGCAAGUCGAGCGAACAGACGAGGAGCUUGCUCCUCUGACGUUAGCGGCGGACGGGUGAGUAACACGUGGAUAACCUACCUAUAAGACUGGGAUAACUUCGGGAAACCGGAGCUAAUACCGGAUAAUAUAUUGAACCGCAUGGUUCAAUAGUGAAAGACGGUUUUGCUGUCACUUAUAGAUGGAUCCGCGCCGCAUUAGCUAGUUGGUAAGGUAACGGCUUACCAAGGCAACGAUGCGUAGCCGACCUGAGAGGGUGAUCGGCCACACUGGAGCUGAGACACGGUCAAGACUCCUACGGGAGGCAGCAGUAGGGAAUCUUCCGCAAUGGGCGAAAGCAUGACGGAGCAACGCCGCGUGAGUGAUGAAGGUCUUCGGAUCGUAAAACUCUGUUAUUAGGGAAGAACAAAUGUGUAAGUAACUAUGCACGUCUUGACGGUACCUAAUCAGAAAGCCACGGCUAACUACGUG